rfam:Daucus carota subsp. sativus cultivar DH1 chromosome 1, whole genome shotgun sequence.
AUGGAUGUGAUGAAUAUUUCCCCAGAUGAUCGAAACUGAAAUAACUGAGCGCUAUUUUAUAUUUUUCUCUUUUGAGAAAAAUUUUAAGCCAGAAUUCUGAUCCGU